GAUGAACGCUAGCGGCAGGCCUAAUACAUGCAAGUCGAACGGUGUCUUCGGACAUAGUGGCGCACGGGUGCGUAACACGUAUGCAACCUACCUUACAUUGGGGGAUAGCCUUUCGAAAGGGAGAUUAAUACCGCAUAAGACAGUAGCUGGGCAUCCAGCAGCUGUUAAAGAUUUAUCGAUGUAAGCUGGGCAUGCGUCCAAUUAGCUAGUUGGUGAGGUAACGGCUCACCAAGGCAAUGAUUGGUAGGGGAACGGAGAGGUCAAUCCCCCACACUGGCACUGGGCUACGGGCCAGACUCCGACGGAAGGCAGCAGUAGGGAAUAUUGGGCAAUGGACGCAAGUCUGACCCAGCCAUGCCGCGGGCAGGAUGAAGGCGUUAUGCGUUGUAAACUGCUUUUAUACAGGAAGAAACGACUCUUGCGAGAGGCAUUGACGGUACUGUAUGAAUAAGCACCGGCUAACUCCGUGCCAGCCGCCGCAGUAAAAC
rnacentral:rRNA from 1 species